rnacentral:rRNA from 1 species
AUUGAACGCUGGCGGCAGGCUUAACACAUGCAAGUCGAGCGGGGUGAUGGUGCUUGCACUAUCACUUUGCGGCGGACGGGUGAGUAAUGCUUAGGAAUCUGCCUAUUAGUGGGGGACAACAUCUCGAAAGGGAUGCUAAUACCGCAUACGUCCUACGGGAGAAAGCAGGGGAUCACUUGUGACCUUGCGCUAAUAGAUGAGCCUAAGUCGGAUUAGCUAGUUGGUGGGGUAAAGGCCUACCAAGGCGACGAUCUGUAGCGGGUCUGAGAGGAUGACCCGCCACACUGGGACUGAGACACGGCCCAGACUCCUACGGGAGGCAGCAGUGGGGAAUAUUGGACAAUGGGGGGAACCCUGAUCCAGCCAUGCCGCGUGUGUGAAGAAGGCCCUAUGGUUGUAAAGCACUUUAAGCGAGGAGGAGGCUCUCUUGGUUAAUACCCAAGAUGAGUGGACGUUACUCGCAGAACAAGCACCGGCUAACUCUGUGCCAGCCGCCGCCGUAA